GACAGUGCGAUGCCCCCAGAGCGGGGCUAAGAGUCCCGUCACUGUGUGCGUGUGCUCAGUGUUCUGGGAGCCUGAGAGUCCUGGGAGUGCCUGCCAGUCCUCUCUACACACCGCAGACGGAAUAGUCAUGACGCAUCUCUUCCCUUCCGAAGCGCUGUUUCACGCACCCACUUUCAGGGGAGCAAGACGUCCUGUUCAAAGGGACUGAAGGAGGACAGGAAGAUGGCAGAAGAGCAGCCCGCGAGCCACUGCUGUGUCUGUGCACAUCAACUACAGACUGCAAGUAUCAAGGUUAUGCUAGUCUUAUGAAACAAGGAGGAGAGUGUUCCUGGUUUACCCCAAGAGUUCCUGUGAGAUUGCUGUUUACUUCCCUGGCUUUUUGGAAGAAUUGAUUGGCAAAACAAGUAAAGCAUUUCCCACUGCUAGGAAUUUAGUGAGGCCAGCAGACUCUACAAUUGUGCCACUUGAAUUUGGGAAGAAGGUGGAGCAAGCGGCCCACGCAGCCUGGGGACGGAGGAGCCGGUGUGCCCGCUUCCCCUGCGCCUGCCAGCCCAGGGCAGGCC